CGCCUGUUUAUCAAAAACAUCGCCUCUUGCUAACAAUGAAGUAUUAGAGGUCCCGCCUGCCCUGUGACAGCAGUGUUUAACGGCCGCGGUAUUUUAACCGCGCGAAGGUAGCGUAAUCACUUGUCUUUUAAAUGGAGACCUGUAUGAAUGGCAUAACGAGGGUUUUACUGUCUCCUCCCCCCAGUCAAUGAAAUUGAUCUCCCCGUGCAGAAGCGGGGAUAGUAACAUAAGACGAGAAGACCCUAUGGAGCUUCAGGCAAAUGAUCAAGCUCACGAAGUCCUAGCAUUAAAUAGGUGUAGGAAAAGCAUAAAGCGUAUGAUCAAAGUGCCUUCGGUUGGGGCGACCAUGGAGGAAAGAAAAGCCUCCACGUGGAACGGGAAAACCCUUGAACUAAGAAGAACAACUCUAAGUACCAGAAAAUCUGACCAAGAAUGACCCAGACUUAAAUCUGAUCAACGAACCGAGUUACCCUAGGGAUAACAGCGCGAUCCCCUCCCAGAGUCCAUAUCGACGAGGGGGUUUACGACCUCGAUGUUGGAUCAGGACAUCCUAUUGGUGCAGCCGCUAUUAAGGGUUCGUUUGUUCAACGAUUAAUAGUCCUACGUGAUCUGAGUUCAGACCGG
rnacentral:rRNA from 1 species